UUAGUAGAACCCUAGACUUGAACAUUGUGUGUUUGGGGACUAGGAUUGUCUAACGGGUUCAUGUAGUUUUACAUAGUUUCUAUUUGGAACUAUUAUCCUACUGGGAACCUUCGGGUUCUCACCUAUUGUAGAAUUUGUUGAUUUUCAAAUACAAGGCGUAAUAUACCUCGUUGAGCGUGCAAAACUCCUUUUGGCAAAAGCAAAAACUUGUCUUUUGAAUUUUAUUUUGUACUUAAAUGUUUAUUCUCCAAUUUUGAACAUGUAUUUGUAUAUUCCUCUUAGAGGUUCUGUAUUACGAAAAAAUAAAAUUAUAUUUUAUAUAUUUUGAAUUGUAAUAUUGUCGCCAACCUUGUCUUUGCAGGUCAAGACUAAUGAUUAUGUAUCUUAUUUUGAAACAUAUAAAUAUAUUCUGCUUUGGUAUAUAACAUUCACUCGUGUUAAUGUUUUCCGUGUGUGAGUAUUGGUCAUUCGAUGUUUUAAUUUCUUCACUGGCUCGUAGUUAUGACAUUAGUCUUCUAUNNNNGUUGUAGUGGCAAACCACAUUUGAUUUACGAUUUAAGUGUAAAACUCUAUGUGGUAGAGUGUUACAAAAUCACUUUCGCGUUUAGAGUAAAAAAGUAUCCAAACAUAAAAAAAAGCGUUCAAUACACUUAAACGUAUUUUUUUUCUUUUCAACGCUAAACCAAAUACAACAUUAAUGUGACUCUACCUUCUCAAAGUCAAGCUGCAUUUUAUUGUCUUAACAAUCAUGAAAGCUUCGUAAAGUCCUUAUAUUUUAUACCAUUUAAAAAAUGUGUGCAUGUUUUAUUGUCUUAACAAUCAUGAAAGCUUCGUAAAGUUCUUAUAUUUUCUACCAUUUAAAAAAUGUGUGCAUAAACCUUCAUUUUCAGCCAAUGAUUUAUGGAGUUUAGGGAUCCUCUCAAUUUUUUCUCACUUGAAGAGGUAAAAUGUAAUCUCUCGCUACACAUUUUAUAGGUGAGACCAAAAGAAAAUGAGAAAAAACAUUAAAGAGUUAAAUAUUAUAUUUUAUACCUUCAAUUGAAAAAAGAAAAUUGAGAGGAUCCACUCAUAUAGACUUUUGUAACAUUGUGCCCGAAGAUUCUCUUGAUUUAUAAUCCCACUCACAACAGCAUAGCUCUAAUAUACAGAAUAUUCAGAGUUUUAUUUUGGAAUAUAUAAUAGAAGUUUGGAUGGACUUUACACUGAUCAACGUAUCAGGUAUGUCUUUAUGAUCAAAGAACACGUAUGGGAGCACUUACCGAUCAACUAUAAAGCAACUGUCGGUGUAGAGAAGACUAAAACCUCGUCCUUGUGAAAUACAUUCCGAGCAUUACCUGUAUGUGUUGGAAAACAUUUUGCUCUCCCAAAUAUUUAAAAAAAAAUGAGCUAGCUAUGAUGAUAGGAGCUGAAUCUAGUUGGGAAAUUAUAAGAGGGUAGCACAAGUCGCAUGUAAAUAAGAAAAAACAUGUCAUAAAAGCAAAAUAGAACGUGUAUUUAAACACUGCUUUGUGUGAUAAACAAACUCUUUACAUCCAUAAUUAAUCUACCAAAAGAAAAUGAAAAAUAACAAAAGGAAAGCAAGUGGUCCUAUAAUGUGAUGAAGGGACAUGAUGAAUGAUAUCAUAAUUAACAAAGACAAGACAAAGUAAAGCCACUAUUUAUCUAUUUAUAUUUUCAUUAACAACAAGUAUUAUUAACAAUACGAGAGGGAUAUCAUGAAAGCAUGGAAGAUAAGAGAUUCUCGUUACAGAAAGAUUAAGAUAAAGCGAUUAUUCUAUGGAAUUGCAACAAUCAUCUACCUUAACUGGCUUGAAUCUAAAUGAAUCAAUUGAAAUUUGGAAGUAGACAUGUUCAUCACCUAAAAUUACUCACCACGAUGGUAUGAGAAAGAUAAAGUUGAUGUACUUUUAAAAGCAUCAAAUGAACAUGCAAGAGAAAAAUAUUAGACCAAAAUGUUCAACCGUGUCCCAUUCUUUAAACAUGGACCCAUCAAAUUAGACACUUUACAAGCUGAUUACUGCACUAACAGCAACAGAUGUAGCUAAGAAUGGUAUAGAGAACGAAAUUGAAUAUGAGCAAAGCUUACAAUAAAGUAAAAUGAUGAGCUUUCCUAGAAGCAAUGACAAAGAAACUUAAUUUUCAGGUUGCCUAGAAUGUACUGCGUGAAUGUAAGAUAUAUAACUAUUCAUGAAACUCUACCUAAUAAUUUAAACUUUUGGAAUAAACUAUUCUAGAACAUGCUAUGAGAGCUUUUAUCAGCAAAAGAUCUAGGAUUCAAUUCUUGUUACCCCAAGAAAAUAUAAUUUAAGAAUAUGGCAAGAAUCAUUUAUUUUUUAUGGAUGACAGUAUUAUAUCCUCUAAAGCUACCAUGGAUAAUCGCCAAAUCAAUCCUCAUAUUCUACGUCUUUAUGAAAUGGUAUUGGGUCUGAAUUGAUUUUGGGAAAUCAAUUUUGCAUGUUUAGCAUGAUUUUGGGCAAUGAGAUCCGAACUCAAAACCUGAGGGCCUUCAACAAUUCACUGGGUUCCUAAUAAGCAAAGUAUCCAAUACCAACCAUGGGUAGAUCAGAGAGUCUGGUAGAUAAAAGAUAACUCUCGAAUCCAAGAAGGAUACGGCAUGGAACUAGGUGAAGGGUUUAAUCUGGAGACACAAGGCGUAUUCUCAAAGACUAAAUUAAAAAUUCUGAAAAGUCAAUGACUAAAUUGAGUUAUGCUCACAAUCUCAAGGAUGAAAUUGGAACUUUAAUUGAUUAAUUUUUUUAAUCAAAGCAUUCCUCAUUUCUCAAAGUAGGAGUUAAUCUUUGACCAAAAAGCAAUAGGAAGAGCUAAUCCAUCUUUCAGUUGGUAUAUCAUCUUGGAAGGUAGAUAAUUUGUAACAUACCCUGAACCUAGAGAAGAGCUGAGUAAGGAAGGAGGAGAAGCUUCUACAUCUAUAAAAAAGCAGAUUUCACCAUUGACUUUUUAUUAUAGAAGGAGAAAUAGAAUUCAGGCUAAAUGUGGAAAAGUGUCA